CGCACGGGUGAGUAACGCGUAUGCGACCUGCCCGUUGCAGGGGGAUAAUCGGGAGAAAUCCCGUCUAAUACCGCGUAACGCCGCGGGGCUGCAUGGCCCUGCGGCCAAAGGGAGCGAUUCCGGCAACGGAUGGGCAUGCGUGACAUUAGCUAGUUGGCGGGGCAACGGCCCACCAAGGCGACGAUGUCUAGGGGUUCUGAGGGGAAGGUCCCCCACACUGGUACUGAGACACGGACCAGACUCCUACGGAAGGCAGCAG
rnacentral:rRNA from 1 species